GUGACUCGAGUGAACGUCCAAAGAACCGCUCGGUUCUUAUCCGUUCAGCGAGAGCUGAAGCAAUCGUCGUGCCUCUCCGCCCCAAGUGUCCCGAUUUCCAAACCCAAUCCCAAACCCGAACCCCACGCCUACGUCGUCCUUGAUCGAUCCAUUAAAGAAGAGGAGGAAGAGAUGCCGACCGCCGAAGAAGCAGAGCAGGAGCGCCCCGUCUUCGACGACGACGACGACGAUGACGUCUCCGAGAGCGUCGGAAGUGAAGACGAUGACGUUGACGGCAACGGCCACGCGACGCCGCCGUCUUCUCAGCUGCAAGCCACGACGGAGCCAAGCGUAGUGGUUGCGGCGGAGUCCGGCGGUCUACACCCUUCCGCCUCCUCCGAUCAAGCCACAAACCUUAACCCUAACCCCAACACCACACUCUUCGAUCCCACUGCGGCCGCUCUUUCUCCUCCCCAGAACGGCGCGAUCCCAGUUCCAGUCCUCCCCAUAGCCGCUAUCUCUUCUCCCUCGGCUGAUGCUGCCUUCUUCAACCCCACUUCCUCAUCCGUUGCUGUCCCCGGCACCACCACCUCUGCCUCUGAGGAGAGGAGGUCCCUCGCCGUCGUCUCCUUCGAUGAGUCCCGCCGUCUCUUCCAACGCCUUUGGACCGACGAGGAGGAGAUCAAGAUCCUGCGAGGGUUCUUCGAAUUCACCUCGAAGCGCGGCACUACCUUCGCCUCCCACCAGUACGACACCGGCCCCUUCUACGAGGAGAUCAAGAAGCAGUUCCAGAUUGAAUUCACCAAGAACCAGCUAAUUGAGAAGCUCCGUCGCCUGAAGAAGAAGUAUCGGAACUGCGUUAGUCGGAUGGGGUCCGUGGGGAAAGGCUUCGCCUUUAAGAGCUCACACGAGCGGGCCAUCUAUGACAUCGCUCGCAGGAUCUGGAGCGCUGGCUCCAAGAGGGUCCACGAGAGUGAUGAUGAGGACCUUAAUACAUCAAACAACGCCAUCUCUGACGAGAUCAUUGCAGUUCCGAUCAACGAUGGUUCUUUGGGUUCUCAUAGAAGGAUCUCAAGAUCAAGAAGGUGCAUGAGAAGGAGAAUGGCAGAAGAUGUGGCUACAGUGGAUGCUACUACUGCAGUCGGUGGAGUAGCUAUAGACCAUUCCACUCCAGAGAUGCACACACCUUUCGCUUCAGCAGCUGGGAUACCAAACAUCAUCGAGGAGACUGUAAAGGACUGCCUCUCACCACUGUUUAAGGAACUCAUCCAUUCUGCUAUUGGGAGCCCGCUUGGUCCAGGACUCAUUGGUGGGACAUCACCAUUGAACCUGCUUCCCAUGAGCCUCAGGGGUGGUGGUUCUUUGGCGGCCCCAGGGAUGACUAUAGAUGACAAGUGGAGAAAGCAGCAGAUUCUAGAACUGGAGGUUUAUUUAAAGAGAAUAGAGCUUGUAAUGGACCACAUCAAGGCAACAAUGGAGGAACUCAGGUCUGCAGCGAGCUGAUUAGAGUUUCUGCUACAAAGAUUUUCUUCUGGAUGUGGAUAAUUGUGGGCAGGUGGUCAACUGCCGCACAUCACACAAAUCUGGGAAGCAAGAAUAUGACAAAACUGUUGUAUUUUUAGAUUGUCAACGUGAACCUUGCCUGGAUAAUUGGUGCUAUUAGUAAAAGGUGGCGGAAGACCUCCGAAACUGGGGAGAUUCAUGUACUACGACAUUAGGCCCUACCACAGCACUGUUCAUGCUUUCUGGUGCAUCCGUAACUGAUGCAAUGGCUGCUGCCACUGCUGCAGCGAUGUUAGGAUGAGUUGCAAUCGCCGCAGUGACAGUCUGCACCACUGGCCGUGUCACCAUAGGGGUCGGCAUCAAUGGAAUGUAGUCUCCCCGUUGGAUCAGCUGAAGUGAACUUUGCAUUUUGGUGAAACUAAGGGUGACAGAAUUGGACGUCGAGGAAGCAUACAGUGUCGCCAUGGUGUAAGCACUGGGCAUGCAGAAACCACCGUCCGUGGAGCCAGAUAUGAGCACGGCGGCAGUGGCUGACAUGGUGUUGGCCAUGGCAGCGGCAGCAAGGGGGGAGGGGGUGGUUGUGGUUGCCCUCGUAGGUGGUCGUGAGGAUGAUCUUGACCUCAGCACAUCUCUGCACCUGCCGCAUUACUUAAUUAGGCCAUAUCACACUCUAGCAUGCUUCGCAUGGAGUGCGAUUCAAAAGAACAAGUAGCUGAUCAAGACCUUAAAUUUUCGUGUAAUACAUGAAAAAAAACUCUAUCACACACCUAAAUUAAUAUACCACUAUUAGGCUGAGGGUAGAUAUAGGCUAAUAGGACCUGUAAGAUGUUGAGAAUUGGUUGACCUCUAAGAUUGUGGCAGUGGUCAAAGUAUACAAGCCUUGAUGAUAAAGGGGAUUUGGAUAGUUUAGUUAAAGGUUACUGUACAAUGUUGACCAUCAGUUAGUUGCAGAGCCAAUUAUGCAGGUGUGACAGUCUCAUCCAGGAGGACCCUCGUGAAUAGCAGGUUCCUUGUAGGGAAUUGGAGUCAAACUUAUCAUCUAUUUUAUCAUGUUGGAAAGAGAGACAGGGGAAAACAUUAAUUUAAAAUUUGGUGUUACUUCAUUUAUAUCAUUUUAUCAGUA